GAAAUCAAAGCCCAGGAAAGAGAAAUAAAAGAAGAAAAAAUUGCAAUCUAUAAUACACCGAAGGAUUUGGAUACUGAGAGUUUCUUCCAUCACUUUCCAUCACGCUGUGUUUUCUCAAAGUUCAUAUCUCAGACCCACCUUCUGAGCUGCAGGCCCGCUUGGAGCACACAGGAUUCUCCUCUGUCUGAGGGAGUUCACAGCAAUCCCACAAAAUGGCUCAGGGCUGGCACUUCAGUUUGGAGAUCAUGAUGGUAGAGAAGACCAAAACUGUACAACAGUUUACUGGGAAGCUGCUGGCCUUGGCUGCCUGGCUCACUGGGAAAAUCCUCCCUGUGCCUGCGUUGACAUGCUGGGUGCCCUUUUAAGGGGACUGCCACAGAGGCAUGAUGGCUCCUGAUCCAAGCACAGAAGACCAAACGGGCCCCUCCUACCUCUUGUUUAUGGAUCAGGUAUAAGCUCUCACCUACUGCCCUGCCUGACUGCCUCUGCCUGACUGCUGCCAUGAUCCCCACCACGAUGGUCAUGAUCUCACUCUCUGGUACUGUAAGCUCCAAUAAACUGUUUCUUCU